UCAUCUCAUUGCUCCCAUUACAUGGUUGAAGCAUUGGGAUAAAAACCCAAGAUCAAUCGAGUCAAUAAUGGGGAAAGAGUUCCAUCUUUCUGAACUCCCCCACUUUCUAUUAUUUGAUGCUCUCCCUGAUUAGGGAUAGAAGCAAUGAGGCACACCCCUCAUCUCCUAUUCAUCUGCUUCACCUUAGCCUCUCAAUGGCAAGGUUAAGAGCGACCUUUACC
rnacentral:lncRNA from 1 species